AUGGCGGCCCUGCAGGGGAGAAGGCUCCUCCUUCCCCUUCCCCUCUCCCUCCUCGCGCGGCAAGCCCUCCGCCGUGCCGUCCCACCGCCCAUCCCCCGCUGCCGCUUCCUCGGCUCCUCCUCCCCGCCCGCGGCACCGGCCUCCCCCUUCCCCUCCCCGCCCGCACCCGGCCCCCGCUCCCCGCCCGGCUCGCUCCUGCCGACGAGCGCCGCGGCCGUCGUGCCGGCCGCGCGCGGCGCUGGGUCCCCCGGCCUCGAGAUCUCCGCUCCGCAGCGAGGCCGGACCACCUCGGGCUGGCCCCUUCCGUCGUCGGCAUUGCUCCACGCCGCGGCGCCCUGGGCGCUCUGGACAUCGGCCACGGCCGAUGACAUGGUGGGCGCGCUCAUGGGCGCCAACUUGUCCGUCUUCAUGCUCUGGCGCGUGCUCGCGCAUCCCAGGUUCAUCACGGAUCCUCACAUGGUUUGGCUGGACAUGUACUUCGGCGGGCGGCUGCACACGCUGCUCACGAGCGCCUCCAGCAACGUGGAUCCCAUGUUCAUGAGGAAACAUUUCAUGAUCUCGCUGGACAAUUUCACGAGUGGGCGUCUGCACACGAUGCUCACCAGUUCUUUCAGCCACAUGAACCUUAAGCACCUCUUCAACAACAUGGUCGGCCUCUACUUCUUCGGCUCAAGCGUAAGACGGACACUCACUCUUGUCACUCUGUCAUCUCUUCUGUUCUGUUGA
rnacentral:rRNA from 1 species